AUGGCGGCGGCGGCGGCGAGAGACCUGGCGGCGCUCGACGCGGAGACUCUGGCGCUGCUGGGCGGAGGGCCGGAUAUGGCGCCGGUGGCCGUGUGCGGCGAGUGGGAGACCUUCAAGGAGAACGUGCGGCCGCUGAAACGCGGGCGGAACGUCGGCCUCCUCAACCAAGCCCUCAAGGCGCACACCGACCCCGCCCAGCGUGCCGCCCUCCUCGCCGAACGCAGGAGGAUGAUCGAAGCAACCGAAGAGUACCAAGGGGAGGAUCCGCUCCAGCCAUGGGUAGAGUGCAUCAAAUGGGUUCAGGAGUCGUUCCCGGCCGGCGGGGAGUUCUCAGGGCUGGUCGUGAUCUACGAGCAGUGUGUGCGUGCCUUUUGGCACGAUGAGCGGUACAAGGACGAUCUCCGGUACCUCAAAGUGUGGUUAGAAUAUGCUGGGAACUGUUCGGACGCUGAGGUGAUAUUCAGGUUCCUGGAGUCCAACCAGAUUGGUGAGGGCCAUGCUGUUUUCUACAUUCGCUAUGCAUCGCUAAUGGAGUCGAAGAACAAGCUUAAGAAAGCUGACGAGAUCUUUAAUCUUGGAAUAGCUAGGAAAGCAAAGCCUGUGGAGAAGUUGGAAACUACAUACAGGGCAUUUCUUGGGAGAUCAACCAGAAAGAAGGAACACGAGGAUGAUACCGCAAGUGACGAUCAGCCCGUACGCAAAUUCGGUAGUGACUUGAACCGUGGUGAAACUAGAGGUCAGCAUGCAGAGAAUUCCCACCUGUUGGCAAAACCUAGGGUAAAGCUGCAAAGAAUCGAUGUUAAUACACCGAUUUCAAUUUACAAAGAGAAUCCAUUGCCAAGUCAGGGCCUUGAGAGAGCUAGGAGCAAAGACAGGGUGUGGAACACCCUUGGAACACAAGCAGAUAGAAACAAAGAAAAUAACAUGAUGCCUGCCAGAUGGACUUCGCACAAGAUUCCACCGAAGGUAGCAGCACGGCCAGCAGUUCUGCCCGCUCGUGUCAACUCCAUUGAGGUCUUCGUAGAUGAAGAAUGUGCCGAGGAACCAGCCCCGUCUCAAGUGCCAAAGAGUCCAAAACCAUCAGUUCUGAAGCUUAGGCAAGCAACAAGCAAAAACCUUAAGAAGGAAACAGAAUUGCUUAAGGAGAAUCCGCUGCGCAACUUCCCGCUGAGCAGCCUUAGAUAA
rnacentral:rRNA from 1 species